rnacentral:rRNA from 1 species
UACGGGGGGAGCAAGCGUUGUUCGGAUUUACUGGGCGUAAAGGGCUCGUAGGCGGCCAACUAAGUCAGACGUGAAAUCCCUCGGCUUAACCGGGGAACUGCGUCUGAUACUGGAUGGCUUGAGUUUGGGAGAGGGAUGCGGAAUUCCAGGUGUAGCGGUGAAAUGCGUAGAUAUCUGGAGGAACACCGGGGGCGAAGGCGGCAUCCUGGACCAACACUGACGCUGAGUGAGCGAAAGCCAGGGGAGCAAACGGG